GCCAGCGUAACUAAGUGGUUUGAGUGUAGGACUAGGACUCUGAAGACCAGGGUCAAAUCCCUGCUCAGCCA
rnacentral:tRNA from 1 species